AAUAUUUUCUCCAAAUACAUUCUGUAAUUAUAAACUAUUUAAAGUGAUUCGGAUAUAAUACAUAAGGCAUCUGUACAUAUUAUUACCAGGAAUUAUUUAUUUAUUUAUUUCCAUAAUUUGAAACUUAAAUGAAUCUGUACGAAAAUUAUCAGUAAUAUAUGUUAAAAAUAUAUAUAUUAUAGCUUACCAAAAAGAAAGAAACAUACGAAUCUGUCUUUGCAUUAAAAAUUUUUGUUUAACUUCCUACGUAUAUCGAACAUAUUUGUCUGCCCACACAAUAAAUAUUGAUUAUCGAUGUCUCUUAUUUGCAUACGUAUGUAUACAUAUAUGUACAUAUAUAUUGUAUUCCAAGUACAUAACUUGUGGGGUUCAAACACGGUUCAAACUGAAAGUAACGCGAAACGUUGAGCUUACAGGAACAGCAACAUACAUAUCGCGAUACACGUAUGUAUAUGUGCAUCGCCACAUGUCCCUCCCUUUCAUCGGUGAUCCUUUAGUACACGCUACCGCUCGCAACUCUUUAUCCCACUACGCUACUUAAACAUUUCCCCUUAUUUCUCUUCUACCAAUCAAAAAACGUCGGAGACGGUGACGGCUGACAGUUCUUUUCUUAGGAAUCGAAUCCUGUCUUAACAUUGAAUCAACAACCAAUCGGAGUGAAGCAAUUUCUACUCCUAUUCUCGCUAACAGAGUGCGCUGCGGCCUGAGUGUCUUGCAGAAACUUGGUUAUCACUGUAUUGGAGAACAUAGCGCGCGAAAUUCAACCAAUAAAUAAGCUAAUGACUAUAA